ensembl:lncRNA
CCCCCACCUCUCAUCCCCUUUGGGGCAGAAACUGCCAGAACUGGGGAGAAUGGAUUCACCCCACCCUCCACACCCAACUGCCCAGCCUCGCUCUGAGCAGAGAGGAGUCCCAGGACCAUGGGCAGUGAGUGACCUGGGAAGUACAUUCAACCUUUUAUACCUCCCACUUACCCUUUGCCUGGUUAAAAUCUAUCUCUUCCUACUUUGAUCCCCAUGGUUCCUGUUGCUAACACUUGGUAACACUUUUUUUUUUUUUUAAUCUGACACCUAAUAAAUCCGAGGGCUGACAGGUAAUGUAUCUUCAUCUCCCUGGGUACCCUGCCCUAAAGGAAUGAAUGACUCUGGGAAAGAAUGAACCCAGCCCUCCAACACUCGCAUCUCAUUUUUUCCUCGCUCUAACCGAAGAGUAUGACCUCACCUCCCCUGAGGGAAAACGACCAGCCAGUCCACAGUUUGUCCUCCGGAGGAAUUCCAGGUUGGCAAGGGAAAUUCUUGAACACAGGGAUCCUUGUGGCCAUGGGACCUGAGCCCAUUUUCCCUCCAUGCGCCUCCUGUUUGGGCGUCAUUUCAGGACCAGCUUCCUCACCAAACAGCAUGUUAGCCAGUGAGACGAGGGGAGCAUCUUUUCUAAGCCCUUAGAACUCUCUUAGAAGGCAAGGGCUGCCUUCCCAGUGCCACUGGUCACAGCCACCCUUCUUCUUGGGGACCAUAGUGGAAUCAGAGCACAUCCCCCAAAAACACUGACCUGGGACCACCGAUCCACCACUACCCAGAGCUUCUUGACCACUCCCCAGCCUGGUGUUAUCAGCAUCCUAAAAGGCCACCAAGACAGCUGCCAAAGGAACCCCUCAUUUUGCGAAGAGGGUCACCUGUCACAGCCAGAGGUCAGAAACAGAAUGUCUAAGGGCCAGGCCAACCAUCUGCAAGGUCUUAAUUGCAGCACGUGGGAUCUUUAGUUGCAACGUGUGGGCUCUAGUUCUCUGACCAGGUAUUGAACCCAGGCCCCCUGCCUUGGGAGCAUACACUCUUAGCCACUGGACUAUCAGGGAGUAAACAGAGUCCCCACGAGCUGCCAUCUUCAGAUGAGUGUAAGGUGAGAUCAGAAGCCAAGAUCUGAGAACACAGCCGGGAGAAAAACAGGGAGAGGCCAGGAGGUGGUGAUCAGAGAAACAGACACAAGGACAAGCGAGGACCAGUGUGUUGCUGAUCAUUCUGCCCGGAGCAGCAUCUCCUCCACCCUCCCAGCCUCUCCAUCCCUUUACCCUGCUCUAUUUUCCUCUGAUGCUGAAGCUGAAGCUCCAAUACUUUGGCCACCUAAUCCAAAGAACUGACUCAUUGGAAAAGAUCCUGAUGCUGGGAACGAUUGAAGGCGGGAGGAGAAGGGGACAACAGAGGAUGAGAUGGUUGGAUGGCAUCACCGACUCGAUGGGCAUGAGUUUGAGCAAACUCCAGGAGUUGGUGAUGGACAGGGAGGCCUGGCAUGCUGCCAUCCAUGGGGUCACAAAGAGUCGGACACAACUGAGUGAUUGAACUGAACUGAACAGAUUUUCCUCCCUAGCUCUCACUACUACCUGACUGGAUAUUCGUUUCCUAAGGCUGUCGUAACAUGCACCCACAAGUUGGCUGGCUUAAAGGGCACAGGUUUUUAUGCUCUCACAAUUCUGGUGGCCAAAAGUCCUAAAUCAAGAUGUUGGCAGGGCUGCACUCCUUCCAAAGUCUCUAGGGGAGAAUCCUUCCUGCCUCUUCCAGCUUCUGGUGGGUCCAGGUAUGUUCCCUGACUUGCAGCAGCAUCACUCCUGUCUCUGCCUCUAUGUUCACAUUGCUUCCUUCCACCUGUUUCUUCUUCUCCAAACUCCUUUCCCUAAUGAAGACAUUGGUCAUUGGAUUUAGCUUGCGUGCCUGUGUGCUCAGUCAUGUCCAACUCUUUGCGACCCCAGGCACUGUAGCUCAUCAGGCUCCCCUGUCCAUGGAUUUCCCUAGAGCAGGUUGCCAUUUCCUCCUCCAGGGGAACUUCCUGACCCAGGGAUCAAACCCGUGUCUCUUGCGUCUCCUGCACUGGCAGGCAGGUUGUUACCUCUGUGCCACCUAGG